GGAGGUGAGGGAGGGCGGGGUGAGUGCCAGGCAGGGACGGCAAAGUCUCCUGCAUCGUCUGUAAAUAUGUCAGUGUGCCAGUGAGCCCCAGUGAGCCCCGCAACGCCCCUGCUGCCGCCAUGGGGGAUAGGAACUCCCGCAGGAUAAUAGAGCUGGCCAAACUGGUCGGCAACAGUGUUUGUGGCGACUGUGGAUGUUCCAAUCCAGAAUGGGCAUCUUACAACCUUGGCGUGUUCAUCUGCACCACCUGCGCCACCUGGCACAGGAAGCUGGGAACCCAUGUGUCCAAGGUGAAGCAUCUCAAGCUGGACAAGUGGGAUGAUGAGCAGGUGCAGAAUAUGGAGGAGAUAGGGAACGAGAAAGCUAAACAGAAAUAUGAGCAACACGUCCCUCCCUGCUACAGAGUGCCUAAGCCAGGUGACCCUCCUGUGUUACAGGAGCAGUGGGUGAGGGCUAAGUAUGAGCGCCAGGAGUUUAUACAUGUGGACAAACAGACGUACAACACCAAUGAAAUUGAGGGACGGUUGAUGAAGAAGGCGCGAGAUGAGAACAAGUAUUACGAGAGGAAAUUUUCAGUGUCGGAGAAUUGUUUGAAGUAUUACAAUAAGGAGAAUUCUAAGGAGCCCAAAGUAACCAUCACCCUUUCGGAGCUGAGCGUUUGCCUGGCGCCGCCCAAGAUGAAGCAGAACAACGGCAUGCAGCUCUCCUAUAUGUGUGAUGGCUCCACGCGGCACAUCUAUGUCUACCACGCCUCGGGGGAGACUAUCAUCCACUGGUACAUGGCUAUCCGGAAUAUCAAACUGAACCGUCUCCUUGUGGCCUAUCCAAGUGCAACGCCGGAGGAGGUGGUUCCUUACUUAACCAAUGACUUCACGAUGGAGGGCUGGCUCUCCAAGACAGGCCCCAGCGAGAGGGAUGCCUACCGAAAGAGAUGGUUCACUCUGGAUGACCGCAAGUUAAUGUACCACGAGAACCCCAUGGACCCAUACCCAAGAGGGGAGAUCUUCCUGGGGCACAAGGAUGACAACUAUUCUGUGAGUGAGGGUGUGCCAAGAGGCUGCAAGGAGCAUGACUGUGCCUUCUCUCUGGUCACCCCUGAUCGGACGUUUGUCAUGUCAGCGCCGACACGUGAGGAGCGAGCACAGUGGAUGAAGGCAAUCAACACCGUUCUGGAGCGACCCUUGCGGCCACAGGACAAUCAGAUGGCGGUCAACUUGGUUCGGAAAAAGCCAGGCAAGUUCAGCUUAGACAUCUUCAGCUUAGGUUAAGAGCGGAUUCAUUCCACCCCGAUCAGUCGUGCUUCAGAUGAUACUAUGCUAUAUCUCUAUUUUCCGUCAGAUGUGUACGUAUACCACUGUAGUGUUGUAGUAGCUAGAUAGUUGUAGUAGUCAAUCCAAGUGCAAUCUAAUACUGUCAAGAGGUUAAUAUUAGACUCCUUCUCACCCCAGUAAGUCGAUUAUGUAUGCGCAUUUCUCCCUCAAGCUUAACAUUCUCCAAAUACUCCUCCGUGCUGCUCGACCCGUUACUCAGCUGGGUAGUGGUGGUGCGAUCGCUGUCUCUGUGUUGCUUCCAUAGUUUGUUGUGGUGGAUUAAUGACUGGCUGGGCGUAUGAUUGUUCUCCAGGUUUGUUAGGUUUUCUUUAAGAUAGACUGAGAAUCCAUUAUAUUUCAGUAGUUAUAGAUCCAUUUCCUCAGAUUAUGGAGCAUUCCACAGGAGACAUGCAUAUUUAGACUCACAACACUGGUUUCUGAUUCUAACACCAAUAUUUAAGCCACUCACAGCCACAUUUACACACUUCCAUACUCCACUCCACAGGCUUUUACUCCACAUUGCAUCCCUCAUCUCUUUACUCCACACCACACCCUCCUGCAUGAAAUCCCUUGCCCUACCACACUGCCUCACUCCACACCACACUCUUAAUAUAUACCACAUGAUAUCCCCCAUCACUCCACACACUGUCACACUCCAUAUCUCACCCUACCACUCACAUACCACACCCUGCCAUCACAUCCUAGUCAUCACACCUUGCACUCGUAAAUUAAAGCAAAAGGACCAAUUUAUUUUAUUCACAACUUGAAGAAAAAAUAAAGAAUUCCUAAAUUGCAACUUGAACUGUCUUAUCUAAAACAAAAAUUACAAAAAAAAAUCAAAAUGUCAGAUUGAAUCCUAUAUACCUGAGGCAAAAUUCUAUGUAUAGAGAAUCCUCUGUGUCUCUAAUACUUUCACUGUUCUUAUUCUUUGUUUUCAUUCAGAGCACAGUUUGUUUGUUCAGAUAGACACACACACAAGAGAAAGAGAAUGGAAGCUUUACUGUAGAAGUUAACUGUGUCUUUUCCAGGCUACAGAACUACUUAGAGACUGUAGUACAAAUCUAAGUGUCUAAGAAAUUAACUAUGAAAAAUAUUAUGAAAGGGUGAAGAGUUUGACUGACAUGUAGCACUGUAUUCCCAAAACAUUCAUAACACUCUCCUCUCUUCCUGGAAAAAGUUAGUCUGAUUGGAUUUUGUUCUCAUGGGUAAAAGUCCUUCAUCUCGCUUUGUGUGUGUCGCUUUAAGUUGUCAGGAACGAACAAACAUAGCACUGUAUGCCACAAAAGCUUCCUCUGUUCCUUGAAAAGUCAAUACAUCAAAUCAGAUUCUGCAUGUCUGAGUGGUGAGCUCUUUCCUCUCUCCUCCCUCAGAGUGUGUCUCUUUAAAAGGUCAACUGGUAUCAUUCUCUGCCAAGUUUCUGUUCUUUUUUCAUCAUUUCUCCUUAUGUACUUCUUAACUGGAGAAACUUAAAACUUGUAUCCAUUCUCAUCGUAGUGUUUCCAGUCAGUGAUGUAAUUUUUUGCAAUAUUUACUUGGAGAAACUUGUAUUUAAUUUCCAUUCAAGUAUUUUCAAUCCGUAACUUAACUUUAUAAUCUCCACAUGGUGUAAAAAUUUUGAAUUGGAAAUAUUUACAUGGAUAUAUUAAUUUUCAUUGUAAUAUUUCCCAUCAUUAGCUUUAACUUUUCAUAAUUUCUACCAAAGUACAUUGGAUCAGACAAACUUGACUUCUAUUCAUUUCCAUUCAGGCAUAUUCAGUCAACUUCAGUCAUCUUACAUUUUUUUUUCUACUGGGUACAUGUUUUCUCUUAUCUAUCUGGAGGGCAUAUUUAUUAAUCCUCCUUUUCUUGGUAUCAUCUUGAGUCAGUAUCUGGUCUUGAGUCUCAGUUCAGAGUUCAUUGGAUGAUUUUGAAAUGGUACAUCAGAUGAGUCAUUCAGAUUUGAGGCCUUAUUUCUAAAUGUAAAGCAUUCAUUAGUAUACACAUGAAAUACAUACACACAAGGACAUUCACACACAUACAGUCACAUAUUCAGUCAUAUUCACAAUCAAAAUAAGCCAAGUCCAUACAUUAGCCAUGGAGGGUAUACGUGUUAACAAUGAUAAUAACAAUAACUGUAUUUUAUCAAACCUCUUGGUGUUAGUCAUACUUUCUAAGACGUAUCUUAUAAAAGCAUAUAAAUUAACACAUCACACAUCAGUCCUGCCUCUUCCCAGACAUACCUGCAAACCACCUCAGACACUUCUUUCAAAAACAGUCACAGAAAGUCUCUCAAAUGUGGUAUUUCAAAGAUUUUCCAAAACUUCCUUUUGCAAAAAGAAAGAACUUAGAAUAAAUUAUGUUAACUUCUUUAAAAAAUUAUCUUAACUUCUUAGAAAAAAAAGUCAAAAAUUUCCUUCAACUCUUGUAUUAUGUUUUGCUAUUACAGCUUUUUCAAUUAGGAGAUAUUAUGAGAGUAAGCAGAGAAUGUUAGGGGAGGAGAGGCAUGGUGUGUGUGUGUGUGUGUUUGUGUGUGUGUGUGUGUGUGUGUGUGUGUGUGUGUGUGUGUGUGUGUGUGUGUGUGUGUGUGUGUGUGUGUGUAUGUAUGUAUGUAUGUAUGUAUGAGAGAGAGAGAGAGAGAGAGAAUUAGUGUUGUACUGUUAUAACCUCAAAUAAUUACAAAUAAGCUUAUACUACUACAUUGUUGAUAGCAGUGCUCAAAUGUAUAAUUGUUGCAUAUUCCAUAAGGUCUACCAGUAGAGGAGAGAUUGUAAUUAUCUUGAUUUUUAUCUAAGUAGCAAGAAAGAAAACAGUAGCUGUAUUCCCAAACGUUUCCUUGUUUCGACUAAUUUAGGCUGCAGCAGAUGAUAUUGUGGGUUUCCAAGGAUAUCUUCAUGAUUCUAGGAAUAGUUUGAUACAGAUUUUGCACCAUCAGUUAAAAGAACAUCUAUGGGAACCCAACCAUUAUCAUCUUUGUGGCGUUUGAAAGUAAUCCUGACAAGAGAAAGCAUUGAAGAAUACAGACUGGGGCAUGUUGCACAUGUAGAAGGAUGGUGGUGGGUGCACAAGCUUUUAAGGUGGUAGGGACAGUGUGAAGGCAAGAAACCCCAAAAAACUCUCAUUAAUAUCAAGUUGAAGUUACAGAGCAAUUACCAAGAAAGAGAUGAAGUGUUGCAUGAUUAAAUUAUCUGGAUGGUGAGGAAGUUCAUGAAGAUUUUAGGGACAGUGUAAGGAAGGAGAACACAAGAGAUUUCAGGAUAUUAAGAGUGUAUUAGUGUAGAAAAGAAUAGCUUACAGUGUUCUCAGAUUAAGUAUAAGCUAGCUACAGAUGCACAAGGUGAUAAGAAUAUAGAGUGAUGAGAGAAGACAAAAGACAGACAGGAAAUCUUUGUUAUAUUAAGGUGUACUAGUGUUAAAGUAAGGGUGCAUUGCUAUCAGUGUAUUGAAUAUGUGUUGGCUAAAGGUGCACUAAGUAAUGGGAAUGCAGUGUUGUGAGAAGGCAAAAGACAGAAGUAACCUUUCCAUGGUAUUUGGGGUAUUGUGACAAGAAUGACAUGCAUUGUGCUCUGAUUAAUAAUGAGUGACAUAAAUUUGAGUUCCUGAAGUUACGCAAGGUAAUAGGGGAAAACUAAGCACAAAGGAAAUGAGCAUGGGAGUAUAUGUGACUCAGUGACUGUAUUGAGAGAGUGUCAUAGAGGGAAAAGAAGGAAACAGUGGAAGUGAAAGGGUGCAGCCUCUCAGAUGAGUUGGUCCGAGUGAAGUUGAUGUGAAUUUGCUCAGAAAGUGUUAAUCCCUGCAGCAUUUACAUUCUGUAUUAUCGAUCUCUAGACAGUCCCGGUGCAUGGGGCAGUGGCAAUAAUGAUAACACCAGUAAUAAGAGAGUUUAACGAAUACAUACUUAGCAAUACUACACGUGUUCAUGGUCUAGUUACUGAAGUUACCAUGAGAAAAACCAGUGUAUGAGUAAGAUUUGUAUUAAGAGUAACACAUAGAUAUAUAUAUAUAUAUAUAUAUGAAUAUUAGACAUUAUUUAGUAUGUUAUUAGUGUGUACACAGAUAACCCUUUGACAUUGAGACAGCACAUUUAUCAUUCUGUUUGUGUAAUGCUAGGUGGAGUCAACGGAAUAAUGCCACAGACACUAGAAGGUUUGAAGUGUUCAGUCGAUGGUGCUUCAAAAUUGUCAAAGGCAGCUCGCUUCUUGACAAUGAGAACUAGCACCUUCAUUAUUCUGUUCAGGUAGUGCUAGAUGAAAUAAAUGAACAGAUUAAGCUGAAGACAGUAGAAGGUUUGUGUUCAGUUAUUCCAGUUUCAGAAUUGUCAAAGGCAGUUCACAGUUUGAGAGUGAAACUGACACCUUUAUUAUUUGAGAUGAUUUUACAAGAGUUGCUAUGAACACUAGAAGGCUCGAGGUGUACAGUCACUCCUGCUGUCCAUGGCUUCAAAAUCAUACCCAAACCUGUGACAUGUUUUGAUGUCAGAGUGGUCAGAGGGUUGGUUAUACGUAUUCAUCCGGAGAAAUACAAGGUGAUGAGCAUAAGUCGUCAUUCUGAUUCAUACUGUGUUCACUAACUGUAUGCUGUAGGAUUUAUAUUAAGUAUUUGUACAGUUUGCCUAUUAUACACUUCAUGUCUACAUCUUCAUUUUUCGUCAUUAUAUGCAACUGGAGAAUCUCGUAACCUUUGUUUUGUUUAGGUAUUUAUAUUGUUUGUUCUGUAAGAUUCUAUUCAACAGUACAGUCAAGGUCAGAGGUCCAAUAACAUUCCUCACUCAAUUCAUCACUUAUACUAUUUCUUAUUUUCUUGUAAUUUUGAUAUUCAUUUUUCAAAAUUUGAUCUAUUCUAACCUAAUUUUAAUCUUAAUCUUUUGUAAACCUGAAAAUCUUAAUCAUAAUCUCUAUACUUCACCUAAAAAAGAUAAUAAUAAUUUCAUGACAAAUAUAUCACUAUAAAAAACAUUCACUAAAACCAUGAGCUAUAAAUCUUUGCAGUGAUUAUCUUUCUUCUCUUAUCUUAAGAAUGAUGACAAUAUGACCUUCAGUCUAUCAUAAAGUUCCACAGAAUUCUUGACACCUAAGAAAUAGUCAGCCAAUCAAAAGACAUAAAAUUAAACAAUAAAGAAGACAAAACAAUAGUAAGCACAUUGAAAUGCUGAAAAUUAUAAGACUUGUGACCUCAACUGUACAAUGAAUGAAGACUGUCAGAUAAGUGCAGCUGAUUUUAUUGUGUGUCACAGUGCAAAUAGGGAAUCAGAUGAAGUGUUAUAGGGAUAGGGGAUCUGAUUGUGUGUCAUGGAGUGAGAAAAAGAUCUCAUGAUAAUAGUAGAGGAUCUGAUGAAAGCUACAAAGGAAUAUUAGUUUAGAUGAAGUGUUAUGUUAGAAAACAGGAUCUGAUUGUGUGUUAUGGUGCAAAAAGAGGAUCUGAUGAAAAGUUAUACAGAGAAUAGAGGAUUAGAUGAAGUGUGAGGAGAAGAAAAGAAGAAUUAAUAAAGUGUUACCAUAGAAUAGACAAUUAGUUGAAAUGUUAUGAUAGAAUAAGGGAGAAAUAUUAUGAUAGAAUAGAGAAUUUGAUGGAGUGUUAUAUCAGAAAAGAGGAUCGCAAAUACUAGAUAUCCUGGUUACUAGAAUGAUGUUAUGGGGGUAUGAUUAGAUGUUUAUGAGUAGUACAUUUCACUAUAGACACUUGGUUAAUUAGUUUGAAUCAAUAAAGGUGCAAGAUGUUCUGGUUUUAAGUCAGUGUAACAAUAGCAAUUUGUUUCAUUGGUCAGGGUGUGAAAUUAUGUAGCAUUCGAUAAUCGUCAGUGCAAAACAGCUUAAAAAAAAAUGUGAUACCAGAGUAUGUGAUAUUAAAAUGGAAAUUGGUGAUUGGUUAAGUAGUCUUGGAGUAGUUCAUUUGUCAAGAGGAUGGGGAUAUAUUGUUGUUAUUAUUAUUAUUAUUAUUAUUAUUAUUAUUAUUAUUAUUAUUAUUAUUAUUAGCUUGAGUCUCAGGUCUGCAUUAACAAAUUUCUCAGUGCCUUAUCUUUGCCAUAUUCAACAGGCCCUAAUGGAAGUUAUUGGGGUUUUCAAAGAUGAUAGUUCAACAGGUUUUAAUGGAAGUUAUUGUGGUUUUCAAAGGUGUUUUCAUGAUUUCAGCUAUAGGUCAACAGGUUUUAGUGGAAGCUGUUGGGGUUUUCAAGGGUGUUUCAUGAUUCCAGUAACAAUUUAAUGGGUUUUAGUGGAAGUUAUUGGGGUUUUCAAGGGUGUUUUCAUGAUUUGAGCUAGAGUUCAACAGGUUUUAGUGGAAGUUAUUAAGGUUUUCAUAGUUUUUUCACUGAUUUAGAUGAUAAUUUAAUGAGAAUAACUUUGAAAAUCUUUAAUGGUAGUUAUUGGAUAAGUUUUGGCAAUAUUAGUGGCAUUUAAGCAAAGAUUCUGCAUUGCGGGAAAGAAAGACAUCUGCAAAAAUGUGAGCGGCACAAGUGUUUCAAGAUGCAGACUUGACGCUCAGAAUGUUCGUGUGUUUUGUGUCUGUGUGUGCUUGUUCUUGUUUUCUCACUUGUAGUUUACUUCACUUUGUUACUUUUUUUUUAUAUAUACAUUUGUUUAGCUCUAUUUAUUGUAGGAUUUUUUUUUUUUUUUUUUUUUUUUUCCUCGGUACUAUUAUUGUUCUUAUUCUCUAUGGUGUAUUUUGUCUAUUUUAUCUUUCUUUUGCAUAAUUUUAUACUUUUUAUAUUCUACUUCUAAGCUCAAUUUUUGGAAGGGGUGCAUCAGUACUAUUAUAUAUACAGUAUAUAUAUUAUAUUUUAAAACUCCAUGGGGUUAUUUUAUGUGUACAAAAUUAAUCUCAAUAUACUUAAGGGAAAAACAGUAAUAUUAUAAACUUUUAACUAUUUUCUCCUCUCAGCAAGUACUGUAUUAGCGCUUUCCUUGUACAGUUAAUUACUUAAAUCUUAUGGUUCUAUGAAAACUAUGUCAAUCUAAGUCAAUAAACUUUAACAGAAGCAGAAA
rnacentral:misc_RNA from 1 species